UUUCCGUAGGUGAAUCUGCGGAAGGAUCAUUAUCAUGUAAUUCAGUCCCCUUGGCUGUGUUAUAUAUAUACCCACUCUGUGUACCUUCUCCUGUUGCUUCCGCUGGGUGUGUAAUUCGCCCGGCGGAAGGGUAAAAAUAACCUCUGAGUAUUGAUGAAAUCUCUGUCUGAACCGAAUAGAAAGAAAAAUGUUAAAACUUUCAGCAACGGAUCUCUUGGUUCUC
rnacentral:misc_RNA from 1 species